AAUCAUUUAACUAUAAAUAAGUGUAUACCUUGAAAGUAUAAAAAAGAUUAACUCUAAUGAUUU
rnacentral:tRNA from 1 species